rnacentral:rRNA from 1 species
CGGUCCUUGACAUACUAAGAACUUCCAGAGAUGGAUUGGUGCCGUUCGGGAACUUAGAUACAGGUGCUGCAUGGCUGUCGUCAGCUCGUGUCGUGAGAUGUUGGGUUAAGUCCCGNAACGAGCGCAACCCUUUUCCUAUUUGCCAGCGGGUCAUGCCGGGAACUUUAAGGAUACUGCCAGUGACAAACUGGAGGAAGGCGGGGACGACGUCAAGUCAUCAUGGCCCUUACGGCCAGGGCUACACACGUGCUACAAUGGUCGGUACAAAGGGUUGCUACCUCGCGAGAGGAUGCUAAUCUCAAAAAGCCGAUCGUAGUCCGGAUCGCAGUCUGCAACUCGACUGCGUGAAGUCGGAAUCGCUAGUAAUCGCGGAUCAGAAUGCCGCGGUGAAUACGUUCCCGGGCCUUGUACACACCGCCCGUCACACCAUGGGAGUUUGUUGCACCAGAAGUAGGUAGUCUAACCGCAAGGAGGACGCUUACCACGGUGUGGCCGAUGACUGGGGUGAAGUCGUAACAAGGUAGGCGUAGAUGA